AGACAACAAAAUGUUUAAUAUUAUUAUUUUGUCACCUUAGGUCGAUCGGUAUCUCACGUUUUUAAUUUAUUAAAAAUUUCAUUUCCUAAGUUUUUCUAGGUCACACCCAUUAUUUUUCCUGGGCCUUUAGCUCAGGUGGUUAGAGCGCACCCCUGAUAAGGGUGAGGUCCCUGGUUCAAGUCCAGGAUGGCCCAUAUCUCUAUGUUGGGGGUAUAGCUCAGUUGGUAGAGCGCCUGCUUUGCAAGCAGGAUGUCAGCGGUUCGAGUCCGCUUACCUCCACUGAUUACCACCUCUUCCAUAACAGGUAGAAAGGAAAUGUUUUGAGUAGUGAUCAAAUUCUGAAAGAAUCUAGCUUCCUAAUGAAAUCAUUAAGAUGCUGGACUCAUUGAAUUAAUUUCAUUGUUUUCAGAGAACCUUGACAACUGCAUAGAUUAUUUUUAAAGACAAUAAGCAUCUUUAAUGAUGCAGAUUUAUUAUUUGUGCGAAUGCAUUAAUAACAAUUCUAUUAAGCUGAUGCUUCAAUUUUUGAAGUUAUU
rnacentral:tRNA from 1 species